rnacentral:rRNA from 1 species
AUGAACGCUGGCGGCGUGCUUAACACAUGCAAGUCGAACGAUUAACCCGCCUUCGGGCGGUCAUAGAGUGGCGAACGGGUGAGUAACACGUGACCAACCUGCCCCAGACAUCGGGAUAACUGCCGGAAACGGCAGCUAAUACCGGAUACUAUCCUUUUGGCGCAUGCCGAGUGGAUGAAAGCCUUUGCGGUCUGGGAUGGGGUCGCGGCCCAUCAGGUAGUAGGUGAGGCAGAGGCUCACCUAGCCGACGACGGGUAGCCGGACUGAGAGGACGAUCGGCCACAUUGGGACUGAGAUACGGCCCAGACUCCUACGGGAGGCAGCAGUGGGGAAUAUUGCGCAAUGGGGGAAACCCUGACGCAGCAACGCCGCGUGCGGGAUGAAGGCCUUCGGGUUGUAAACCGCUUUCAGCAGGGAAGAUCCAAGACGGUACCUGCAGAAGAAGCCCCGGCUAACUACGUGCCAGCAGCCGCCGUAAUAC